UAUAUAUAUAUAAAAGAAAAGAAGCAGCCAUGAUUUAUUUAUUUAAUUUGUUUCUGUGUAAUAUAUUUGGACUUAUUUAAUGUGUGACAAAAUACUCAACCUUAGUAUAUGAAUUUCUUAUUUUCCCCAGAUAAAUCAUACAGACAUAUAGUUUUAAACGUGUGACGAGAGUAUAAAACAGGAAGCAGAUUUCUCCUGAAUUCAAACGUCAUCGUGUAAACAUGUCGUAAAGAAAUCUCGGUCUUUGGAGGAGUUUUUAACCGAACUGAUGCGAUGUCUGUAAAACCACCGGUCCAGAUCGGUGCUGCUAUUUACGCUCGUUUAGCACUCCGUCAUCGUUCGUCUCUUCCGUGUAGAAGUUUCUGAAAAACGGAAUCUCUUUUUUGCGCAGAGCAGAUGGGCUGUCGAACUCCACCACCUUCCCAGCAUGCAUCACCAGAACUCUGUCAGAGUCCAUGAUUGUAUUGAGUCUGUUGGAGAGAGAGAGAGAGAGAGAGAGAGAGAGAGAGCGCACAAGGAUUACCUUAAGCACACUAUCCAGCAGUCUUCUAUGGAUGACCGUGGCGGCGUGGAUUGCUCCGUAAGCAAACAGGAAAGCACGAGCAGCGGUGAAGACGGUAUUGGCUACAGCUAGAGAACCGUACACAGUCAUGUAGAACUUCAGCUCUGAGCUCAUAUUGCCAAACGAGUCUCUGACUGGUAAAGGAAACCUUAAAUGAAAUGUUUCAGAAA
ensembl:lncRNA